rfam:Schistosoma curassoni strain Dakar, Senegal genome assembly, scaffold: SCTD_scaffold0001093
AUCCAACUGAUCAGUCCCAAAUAGGACGAGACGCGCAUUCUGGAU